rnacentral:rRNA from 1 species
AAAGGCCGCAGUAUUUUGACUGUGCUAAGGUAGCAUAAUCAUUAGAUUUUUAAUUGAAAUCUUGUUUGAAUGGUAAAAUGAAAUAAAUUCUUUUUUAUUUUAAAUAUUGAAUUUUAUUUUUUAGUUAAAAAGCUAAAAUUAAAAAAAGGGACGAGAAGACCCUAUAGAAUUUUAUAAUUUUUUUUUAAUUAUUUAAUUAUAAAUUUAUUUAUUUAAAUAUUAAUUAUUUUAUUGGGGCGAUAAUUAAAUUUAUUUAACUUUUAAUAUAUUUUUCAUUUAUAAAUGUUUAAAUGAUCUUUUUUUAUUGAUUAAAAAUUUAAAUUACCUUAGGGAUAACAGCAUAAUAUUAUUAUUAAGUUCUUAUUUUUAAUAAUGAUUAUGACCUCGAUGUUGGAUUAAAUAAAAUUUUUAUAUGUAGUUAUAUAAAUAAUAAGUCUGUUCGACUUUUAAUUAUUUACAUGAUCUGAGUUCAAACCGGUGUAAGCCAGGUCGGUUUCUAUCU